AUAAAGUCGUGCUGUGAGUAAUAAUGUGUUACUGAGAAAGACUGCGUCACGUAAAUUUUUUUUAUCUUCGCAGGAAGUGGAAGGCCAUGAAUAAUGCUUUUGAGGAUAAUUGUCAUGGCCGGUCGUGCCGUGAUUAUCCAUUCCUUUUUACUUAUGUUGGCAAUGUGCAUGCAAUUUGCAAACGAACCCUAACCUAUCUCAAGCUCAACAGUUGCCAGCCCUGUGAGCAAGUUUCAAGUAGUGAACUCAACAAAAAAGGUUAUUUUGGUUUUGGAAAUGUAUUGUCUCUCAAUUUGCAACGUUUUCUUUUUCCUAAAGUAGAAGUGAUGUCCAAGUGAAUUGUGUCUAACUUCGUUUCUGUGUCGUUUUACAUUUUUUGUAAACUUCGCGGGUGGUAGAUAUUGUCAGUGCAAGACUCCCACAGUGGAAUAACAUCCCAUGGACCAACAAGAGGCCAUAUUGAAUUCUGAUUUGAACUAGGUGGAGUACUUUCUUGAUGUAAAGUAAUGAAUUAGAAAGCAGAAUCAUGGACAAAUAAGUUUUCAGAUCUUGUUCAAAAUGUUGAAUGAGUUUACUUCAACAUUCUUUCCCUCUCAAGAUCUAUUGCAACAAUGACCCGCAAUAAUCUUUCUCCGCAUCCUUGCAAGUGAUGUCAACACAGAUAUUUCUCACGUUUUGAUUUAUUGUGAGCAAGAGCCAAAAAAAUGCCGAAUCCUCCACCACCCCCACCACCGGGGCCGCCCCCUGCCCCGAUGAUGGCAUUCAACACAUCAAAGUCAAAGAGUUCUGGUGGAGUGGAGCCUCAAGCUCGGAAUGCGCUUCUUCAGUCUAUACGGCAGGGUGCAACCCUUAAGAAAACCGUCACAAAUGAUAGAAGUCAGCCACUUAUUUCCGGCAAAGCCAACGGAAAUGGAAGUGGAAGUAAUGGUUCAACUGGUAUCAACAACUCUUCUAGUACAUUGAAGAGACCUGGAGUCAGUAGCAAUUUGAAUAUUCCCAAUGGUUUGGCCGGUCUUUUUGCUGGCGGUAUGCCGAAGUUGAAACCGACUGGUCUAGCGGUGGCAGGACAAACUUCGACGCAGCACAGCAAUGAUAGUGACAACGUUGCUGCAAACCAAAGCUUGGCUCCAAAUUCAUCUUCAUUACACAGUAAUAAACAAGAUGGAACUACACGACACUUUUCGACUGAUAUCAGAAAUAGGGGACCUCCUCCUCAGCCACCACCAGUUGUCCAAAAAUCUGUUAUGCCAAAUAGUGCAUCUGACUCUGUUUUGACAAAUUCCAACAAUCACAACCGAAUGGGUAGCACAGCAAGUUUAAAUGCAGAUGUAUCUCCACGAUCUGUGACAAAUGGACCAAACAGAACGUCACAAAACAGCCACGGCAAACCAAAUGUUGCUCCAAAACCUCCAAAUACCUUAAACAAACCGACUGUUGCUCCCAAGAACAAAGUUAUUGUAAAUGGUAGACCCACUGUCUCAAGAGCUCAAAGUAUGAAAGCACCCAGAUCGCCCCCUGUUUCUUUACCGACAAGUGCUCCUCAGUAUCCUGGCACUCUAAACCCUAGUGAAAUUAAUAGGCUGAACAGUCAAAUGAACGCAGUCUCGUUUCAUCAGUCUCAAGAGACAUUAAAUCCUUCGCUCUCAAGCCGACCCAUAGCCUCGUUACCUAAUAAUUCAGGUCUUUGGAACUCAACGGGGACUUUACGGCAUCGUCCAGGGACUCCCAUCAGGCCACCAUCCACACGGCCUCCGCCGCCUCCUCCUUACAAAGUUGCAAUGACACCACCCGUGUGUCCUCCCCCUCCUCUUCCCAUUACACCACCCCCUCUACCCCCUCAUCGUACUUCCCCAGCUCCACCACCUCCAAGGACUGAUUCUUAUCAAAGUAGAUUAGUGCCGUCUGUGCCUUCUGGAGCCCCGCCCCUUCCUCCCGUACGAAAUAGUAACUCGCUGAGGAAUGGAUCCUUCUCUAGCUCUGGUGACAUGGAAUCUAGAUUUGCUGACAUGUUUCAUAGUGUACAUGAAUUCCCCCCUCCCAUGCCCUACAAAGGUGUCAUCAAACAGUAUAACAGCAGGACAGCUAAGCAGCCAGCUCCGCAACCUCCGACCCAUACAAUGAUGGCCAACAGGAUGUAGCAUGUUUGAACAAAUGAAAAUAUUUUAACUGCUCAGCAAAAGACACUUGAUAGUCUUUAUUCUCCUCGCAGUAGAUCUGUCAGCAUCAAUAUACAGUAUCCAAUAAGUAUGAAGAUUAGCGCUCAUAGACUCCUCACGGUGUUGAACCCUCUUUAGCAAUAUCAUUCCUCUCUAAAGGUGUUAAUCUCCAGCCAUAUGAUGGUUAUUUCUUUUUACGAUAGAAGAUCCAAACCUUCAUUUUCUUUCUUAACCUAGUCAUCUUUAUCUUAUUAUUUUGCUUCUCUCUCUUUUCAUUUUCAUUCUUAUUUAAGUUUUCUUUUUGUCUUAUAUCGGCUACUUUCUGUGUAUUUCUACAAUUUUUGUAUCUUAAGUUAAUUUAUGUUAAAACAUUUAAGAUGGGGUAGUUUAUCGAUUUUACCUUGCGUCUUAUUCAUUUCAUUUUAUUUAUUAAUUUCUGCUUGUCGUCUGUUUAUUUUUCUGCUUGACUUGGAAAAAAGGGAAAAAGAUUGAAAGAAUGACAAAAUGGAACACAUUUUCUUAUUUGUAACCAAGAUAACACCUAAAAUUUAAGGAAAGCAGCAUCAAAAACCAUAAACUUCUACCCAUGAAUUCGCUCCAUGGAGCCAAUGCUUCGAUAAUUUAAGAAACUGAAUAUCUCAUCCCCUCAUUUUGGCAUUCUGUCAUGUAUUUAUAACUUGUGAGGUUCAUCUGGGAAGAGAGGAUCUUCUCUAUUUUUUGGCCCCUAGUUUUUAUUAGGUCUUGCACAUGAGUUCAAAUGUGAACAGAAAAAAAAAAUUAAUUUAUAUGGGCAAAAUACACCAGACAUCAUUUUGAAGUCAUUAGUUAGUUCUUCAACUUUGCUGAAUGUUGCAGUCUAUAUUUUGUAAUCUACAUUGGAAAUUGACUUUCAAUCUCUAGGUUUUGAAACUGAAGUUCUCUCUCCUCGCUCCCUCUAAAAAUGAAGAAAUAAGUAAACAAAUUAAAGGGAAAAUUAUAUUGUUUGCAAAAUUAUAUUGACAUUGAGACGUAGAGCCAAGAAUCAUGUGGGUACAAUGAAUAAUGAUCGAUCAAUGAUUUUUGACUCAUCAGAUAUAUUCGUUGCUCUUCUGACAUGAGGACAUAUCUUGAUUUCCACAUGAGCCUUAGAGUGAAUGGAGUUAUAUAGACAACAGGGCUCAUGCAAAAAAAUCGAGGUAUGCCCUUACAUCAGUGGAGCGGCAUUAUGUUGUAGAUGUAACAGAAAUGUCUUGUCAACUGUUUGAAAGUAUCCACCUGUGAUGUAAUUCAUCAAACGAUUGUUUCUUCGAUAAAUUGCACCAAAAAUAAUUGUAUUUCAAUGAAUGAAGAUAAAUUUAUCGUCAGUUAAAAACUGAUACAUUGCUUUGAAGCAAUCAUUGUACUAUGUUCUGUUUGUGUGAUUAUGACUUAAUUUUAUUUUUUUUAUCUUGUUGAUUAUUGCUGUCAAACAUUUUAUUUUUGUAUGUUAAAGAUGAAUGUGAAUGGAUGUUAUCAUGAAACAGUCAUUUUUACAGAGCACUGAUUUUGGCGUGAAUCAUGUCUGUAUGUAUUAAUCUAGAAAAUGCAAUGGAGGGACAUACAUUUUCAACUGAAACACUAUAUCCUUUAUUCCUGUUACUUACGAGUUUUAUUGAUUUUGGCGGUCAAGAUUUAUCUUGAAUUUGCCUAAGUAAACGAAAACCUAGUGCUUGGUGACAAUAGUUGUUUUGUGAAAGUGCAUUUUCUAAUAGAGGCAAAAGAAUUUGCUUCAAAAUCCAUCUCAUCGGGUACGGUCAAUCAUUGAGGCGUUAAGUAAAACUCCAUUCAAUAGAAUACUCCAUCAUACUGUGCUCAUCCUCCCAUAAUAAUCAAAUGUACAGAGUUGAUGGGAGAAAAAGGAUACAUACCGAUUUUUUUGAGAGGAGAGGAAGUGCGUCAGGUCUAUUUUUAAUAAUAGCUAUAAAAGAUGUAGCAAGGCUCUUUCUCUUCUAUUCUCCCUCUGGAAUGAUCUGUGGAAUUAUUCUUUUGAAGGAGGCAUUUUAUUUAGGAAGCAAAAAAAUGAACCCAAUUCUGCUCAAAAACACUAGCUUUUAUGGCAAAACGUCAGUUUCUCUCGGUAAAUUUUUUUGUGUUGCUCCAAUUUUCGGUAAUUGGUGAGAUUUGCAAAUGUAGUUAAAGUUUUUCUUGAAAAUUUUUAAGCUCGUGUUGUUGAACCAUAAACAUACAGGAGAAGCAAUUGGAGCUGGAAAUAGAGCCGCACUCAUUAAGUUGGUGCCUUGCAUUGAAAAAAAAAAUCAAUACAUUGAACCCUUGUGGUUAAUGGUAUCGUAGCAAAAAGAAAACCACUUUGAAAUUUGAAAAAAUUGAAAAUGGUUACCAAGUUUUCACUUAGCUCAAGUCUGAAACGUUGUAGGUAGUCCCGGAUUUUUUAAAAUUUUGUCGUACUGUCCCAAGAUUUGCAAUUGUAAUGACCAUAAUAUAUCAGCUUAAAAUAAGUAUUAAAGACAAAAUGAUUUUUACAAUGUCUCUUCUGUCAUCUCAUUUGAUGAAUGUCUGUAAGCUCUCCCCAGUUUUAAUGAAUUUGGAAGAAUGAGCAUCUUUUAAUUACCAUUUUAAGUAAAAAUCUACCGGUAAUUUACAAAAUAGCAUUUUCUGGGCUUUGGUAGAUCAAUUUUUCCAGAACUUCCCAAAACCAAAUGCGUCAUUUUUGGGCUCCUUCUCUGAUUACAGGAAGGCACAAUGCGGCUUAGCUGCUUCAGUUCAGAUGUUUGUACUCUAUUUUCUUCUUUGUCUCAAAUUUUUCCUCCUCUUGGAGUGUAAAAUAUUGUGCCGAUUAAUAUCUGGAACUUUUUUUUUUAGAAGGGUGGUCUCUUUCUCGAAAAAUAGUCUUACAAAUUUUGAUAAUGUGAAGAGUGUGCUGGCUGGACAGUAGUGAUGUGGUAUAAAUAUUUUCGACAGCUUCUCUCUCUUUCUCUCUCUCUCUCUCUUUGAAACUAAAUGUAUAAAUGAAAUAAAGGAUUAGGGUAGAGAGCAAGCAAGCAAGCUGCUUCCUCUUCCCCUUAAAUGUCAUUUCAACAGGGUGAUUCUGAAGUCCUACACCACCCCUACAACCCUUAGCGCCCUUUCCCGUUUUUAGAGUAGUCCCUUGGAAGUGUUGGGGAUCCUUAAAAAUUGGUUCCUUUUUCCUGAGAGCUCUCACAAAAUUUCAAGUCUGCAUCUCAAUUAGAUCAGAAGUUACAGGGGCUGCUGUCGGUGGUGCAGGAAUUUUUGAUCACCCUGUAUACUGUAGGGAGCAAGCAAAGGAGAGGAUUUCACAUGAUGGUAUACGUGAUGAUAAUUCUUGUUAAGAAUAAUUAUUAAUAGCAGGGUUGCAAUAACUUCCUCAUCACGCGACCAAGUAGGUUCAAAAUUGACCCCGUUCUGAAAGAGGAAGGCUCCAAAAAUGGUCAAAACCACAAUUUUUUCAUGAGAAGCACAGCGAUUUAUACUUACAGAGCCAUGGAAAAGUAAUCACCUAGAUAUUUCUCUGGGAAAGAGAAUUUUUAAAUGGGGAAGACCAUGAACUCUCUGCAUCCAUGUGUAAUUGUACCUAAUAGUGAUGCGCAUAAUGUAUCAGUGAUAGAAAGUUUUGAAGAAUGUUCAUAAUAUGGUUAAGACUAUCAUAUAUUGACUCUCUAGACACUUUUUUGUACUAUAAUUUAGUAUUGACUCUGAUGGUAUGCAUGGGUAUGAAAAAAUGAAGCACUGGGAAUGUAAAAUCCAUUGUAGUUUGCAGUUAGAUAUCCGUGUCCUAUCAGCUUUAAUAUAUAAAUUCUAUCCAUCAAUUUCCAUUGUUCAUUUUCAUCUAUAAUUCAGAUUAUCUUUUAGAUUUCAGCGGUUCUUUUUAGACCAUCUGCAAUAACGUAUUGGUUCUUUCAUAGAAAGGAACACUGUAAUAUGGGAGAAAAUCUGUAAUACCCCUGCUUAGUCCGGAUCAACUGUUUUGUUACUGCACAAUUUAUUUUGAAUAACAGUCAAUCCUUAUAUGUACAUUUACAUAGUGAUAUGUUCUUUUGUAGUAUAUCUGCAACUUAAACAUCGAUGGCCAAAAUGCAAAACGACGUAUCUCCGUUUGGAACGUUGGAAACUUCCUAUCAUGCCUCAUUUUUUCUUUGGAAAACUAGUUAAUGUAAUUUCUUGAAAACUUUGUUGAUUUUCCUUCUUUGUCAGAAGAAUAUUUUUUGUAAAUUUCAAGCUGUAAAGUUGGCAUGUUUCUCUUUGAAAAAAUAAAAUAGCAGCAGAUAUUUUGUAACACCGCAAAUGAGAAACAUGGUUUUGCAUUUGAACACUGGAUAUCUCAGGUGGCUCCACUUUACUUAAAACCACUGAGAUUAUGAUGGUCCAGUUUUCAUCUUGGCUUUUAGUCAUAAUUUUUUCAUCUUGUGAUUAUUGACUUACUUCAAAAUUAAAUUUUCCAAGAAUCACUGUAAAAACGUCACAUAAAGUAAUGAAAAACUAAAAAAUCUCUAUCAUUGCAAAGUCACUAUUACCCACUCAUCAAUCCCUUAUGUCUAUCCUAUGAAGUUCUCAAGAAUUUAGAAUUCAUUCAAUAUAAAAUAGAAAUAGUUUCAAUCAACUAAUUGACAUAACUUCAAUAUCCCUUUAUACAUCUCAAGUUGACACUACUUCUCCAUUAUAAUUUUAAAGAUCUGAUAAAUUAGAGGCGAAGUUGCUGCAUAAAUACAUUAAAACGGAUUUUAAAUCUGACGUUGUUAUCCGUGGAAAAUUGAUGAGCAUCUGUAGUUAGCAGUAGAAUUAUCUGUAACUGUAAUUGUAAAAGCGUAGUGUUUCAAAGCUUUUCAAGUGCAGUCUUCGUAAAUGCAUUUCAUUUAUUGUUUUCUUUUCUCUCCUGAAACUUCCUAAGUUUCAGCUACCGUGACCCCCCCUCCCCCCCUCCAGUUAAAGAUAGCAAAACUCUUUCCAUUUUCUUUUAUUAUUCCUCUGUUUUUAAUUUGAUACUUAUUUGUAAUUCAAUAGAUUUCUAUCAUUAACGAAGCCAUAUACUUCCAAA